rnacentral:tRNA from 1 species
GUUGUCGUUUUACAUUUGUUUCAAAGCAUUUUCGAUAUCUUGAAUUAAAUCUUGUGGAUCUUCUAGCCCUAUAC